AAAGCCAUUAUUUUUGUUCAUAAUAUGUUCUGGCCGAAACAAGAGAAAAGAAAAAGAAACCUAGGUUCGGCCAACUUCCAAGCUUGAUUCAAGAUCAAGAACCAAAGAAAUCGGAUUUGGAUCGGGGAAUAACGAAAGUUGUCGACUAGUCAUCCCAUUCCAUUUUACAUCGUCCGAGAUUUUGGAUUCAGGUUUCGAGCUCGGGAAUCGUCAGAGAAGCUUAUCACACUAUCGACUGUCUUCGGUAUUUUAUAAGCUAAAUUUUCGAACCUAUGGCAUGUAUAGGCUAGAUUGUAAUUUGAAAUGUUGAAUUUUGGUUUUGUAUAAUUUAAGCCAUGCGAAAAUGGCCUAACUUCAACGCUUUAUUACGGUUUUGUUUGAUUAUGGCUUAAGUUCAUUUGGGUAUUA